rnacentral:rRNA from 1 species
UACGAAGGGUGCAAGCGUUACUCGGAAUUACUGGGCGUAAAGCGUGCGCAGGCGGUUCGUUGUGUCGGUGGUGAAAGCCCCGGGCUUAACCUGGGAAUGGCCGUCGAAACUGGCGAACUGGAGUGUGGCAGAGGGGGGUGGAAUUCCGCGUGUAGCAGUGAAAUGCGUAGAGAUGCGGAGGAACACCGAUGGCGAAGGCAGCCCCCUGGGCUGACACUGACGCUCAGGCACGAAAGCGUGGGGAGCAAACAGG